rnacentral:lncRNA from 1 species
AAAAGUGAUGGAAAUUAUUGGUGGGUGUGUAAGGAUUAAUUCCCUUUCAAACACACCACUUGCACCACUUGCAUGCUUUAUGUCAAACUUACCAAUCAACACACACAUCACUCCUUUCACCUCUCCAAAACCAACCACUCCCUCAAUGGGAGUACUUUUGAGGCUUUUAUGCAAUUACAUAAAGUUUUGAUACUUUUGUGUAUUUGCACUUUGGCCCAAAAGUUUACGUUUUUACGUUUAGGUCCAAAAACGCUAAAGGACAAAUUGUUUUGCUCCUUUAAUGAAGUUUUUGCAUUUGUUGAAAUUUUUGGGUUCUAGUUGUAAUUACAUGAAGUAGUGGACUUUUGUGUUUUUACAAAGUGACCCCAAAAGUUUAUGUUUUUUGCAAUAUAUAGCCCAAAAGUUGAGGUUAUUGCAUUUUGGCCCAAAUUAAGUUGAGAACAAAAUUGUUUUGUCUCUUUAAAUGAGAAUUGGAUUUUCAUUUCAUUUAGCUCCAUUUAAAUCAAUUUUAUGGAUACAAAAACCAAAUGAAAAUGUUGCAUUCAAUUUAAUUAGUUAAAGUGUUAAUUAAUUAAAGGGUGAUUAUGAACCUAAGCCUACGAUAAUUGAGCUAUGUGAAAGGUCGUUUCAAAUUUGUUUGAACCAUGGGAAUGUGUAGAUUAGAUUUUGGUUGUAAUUUGAUUUGAUCAAAUGUUGUAAAAGAGCAUAAGCUCUUCUUUACUUUAAAGUAAUUUGUUUUAUUCAAAUGUUGUAAAGAGCAUAAGCUCAUCUUUACUUUGAAGUACUCAUUUCUUGUAUUAUUUGAUAUGCAUGAAAAUGGAGUAGAGGGUCCAACGCCCCUAAGACAACACGCCUUAAUGUGAUUAAACGCGUAACUAAAAUCAAUCACCAUCCCUAGACCGAGAUUCAACACUAGGCUCGUGUUGAAUCUAAACAAAGGUUCAUAGUCAUCCUAAGGCCCUAAGGCAACUAUAUAGUCCAUCAAAUGAAUGCAAAGUUUAUGUUAGUAGUACCAUAUACUCUUGCUUUAAAAACCGUUUUACAAGCUUAGUGGGAGUAUUAUAUACUACUAAAUCAAUCACAUGGACCAAUAGUUGUAAUAGGACCAAAUUGUUUUAAUAAGAUUAAAAUGUAUAUUUAUAUGUGAUGAGACCUAAAACCCUCAACCAAACCAUUAUUAAGUUGAUAAGCGUGAGAGUGCUUUGAACACUCUUUCGUGGCCUUCCACCGUGGUGGGCUCCAAUCGUUUGUGACUCAUACACCGGCUUCACCCUAUAAUGGGGAAGUUCAAAGUAUGUGCUUACAUCCAGGAGGAGUCCAUAAACAUAUAUGAUGAAGUGAAUGUAGACAACGAGUAUGACCAACAUG